rnacentral:tRNA from 1 species
GGAGUAAUGGCGGAAUGGUAGACGCUACAAAGUGCAUAGCAUUGUUAGGGUGAAAGACCCUAAGGGUUAAUAGGUUUAAAAGAAAGCCGACAAGGAAGAUGCACAAAACCUAUAAUGCAGGUUCGAAUCCUGCUUGCUCCA